ensembl:lncRNA
CUUAUCAAAUAUCAGGGACUUUGUAUGUCUACUAGAAAAUAUUUGGAUGUAUUGUGUGCUUUAUUAUAAAAUGGGUGAAACUUCAAAGAUCCAGGAUAGGGUGAUAAUCUUGUUUGAGACAACAGUGGGACUAACAGGUUGUGUUGGGAGAUAAGCUCUGUCUCUUCAUAACCUUACUAUGACACUACAGCAUAAUUUAAGACCUAUGUGAAUUUUUUAUCAUGUAGCUCUUAUGUUUUAUAUUUGAUUUGAUGUGCUCACGCAAACUGCUUCAGGCAUUGGACUGCUGACUCGUGAGUUUUGUUUGGUUGUGGGACAAAAACAAAGUCAAUAUCCAAUAUAUAAGCAAAAAAGGUCAAAAGAUUGUUGCAUUGCAAAACUCUCAAAGCCUUUCCAAAAAUAUACACAUCCACUCAGCUUGUUCCUUCUUUGGCCACCCGUUCCUCUUUAGCGAUAAGGAGUUACCCUCAUGCGUCCUAUUGAUGUUGUGGUCUCAGUUGCUCAAGGUUAUUUGGUCAACUAUGUCUCAGCUGGGCUUUACUCUGUUGACUUUGUGAAGUGAGUUGCCCUUGGAUCCAUGGCAGGUUAAACAUUAACCGAUCUGCAUUUGUUCUGUCCUACUUGCAUCUGUUACACUCCGUCCGAUCACAGAAAUAUUCUUAAACCCAGGGGAUCUGUUUUGAACAAAUAUCAGAUGUUUUUCUUUUCUACCGCCUCUUAACUAGCAGGGGUGCUCUGUCAAGUCAGCAGAGUUCUUCGACAUGCUGGAAAGGAUGCAGGAUGACUACAUCCCUUACCCCCGGAUUGAGGAUGUCCUGGAGAAGGGUGGUCCCUACCCUCAGGUUAUUUUACCUCAGUUUGGUGGAUAUUGGAUUGAGGAUCCCGAGGCUCCGGUCGGGACGCCCACAUCCUCAGACAGCAGCUUCUGUGAGGAGGAGGAGGAUGGUCUGAGUCCUGGUGGAGGAGGAGGAGGAGGAGGAGGAGGAGGAGGCUUCAGCUACAGGCUGGAGUGUAACAGCAUCUCACGGGCUUAUCGCAAACACUUUCUGGGCAAGGAGCACAUGAACUAUUACUGCACAGGCAGUAGUAUGGGACACCUCAUCAUGUCUCUGAAGUAUGAGGAGGCAGAUGGACAGGAGUCACUCCGCAUCAUGCUCAGGUCAAAAACAAAGACCCUUCAUGAGCGAAUCCCACUAGAAGGCCUCCUCCAUCUACCCAGCGUACCACAGAUAGCCAAGCUGCUCUGCGAUGACGUCACCGGUCUGAAGUUCAACCCCGUCCUCUACCCUAGGGCUUCGCAACUGAUCGUCAGUUUUGAUGAGCACGAAGUGAACAACACUUUCAAGUUUGGAGUCAUCUAUCAGAAGUUUGGUCAGACGACAGAGGAAGAGCUGUUCGGGAACAAUGAGGAGACGCCAGCCUUUACUGAAUUCCUCAGUGUUUUAGGAGACAAUAUUGAACUGCAGGAGUUUAAAGGGUUCAGAGGCGGUCUGGAUGUGUCUCAUGGGCAGACCGGAUCUGAGUCUGUCUAUACCACGUUCCGUCAGAGAGAAAUCAUGUUUCACGUUUCCACAAAACUCCCUUUUACAGAAGGAGACAUUCAGCAGCUCCAGAGGAAGAGACAUAUUGGCAAUGACAUUGUUGCAGCCGUCUUCCAGGAAGAGCCCACACCAUUUGUUCCUGAUAUGAUCGCAUCCAACUUCCUUCAUGCCUACGUGUUAGUGCAGGUGGAAAACCCCUGCACUGAUCACACCAUGUACAAGGUGUCCAUCACAGCCAGAGAGGAUGUCCCUCCGUUCGGCCCCCCUCUUCCAAACCCUGCGGUCUUUAAGAAGGGUCCCGAGUUCCGGGAAUUUCUCCUGACAAAAUUGAUCAACGCAGAAAAUGCAUGCUGCAAGUCAGACAAGUUCGCCAAGCUAGAGGAGAGGACACGGGCAGCACUGUUAGAUAACCUUCACGAUGAACUGCACAGACAGACACAGGCCACAGUUGGACUGGGAUCAACUACAGAUGAAGAAAAGCUAGAAAAUGGAGGUCAUGGAGGGCUGCUGGAGUCUUUUAAGAGGGCCAUGCGUGUGAGGAGCCACUCUAUGGAGACAAUGGUGACUCAUAAACACAAGAGUCCUGGAGUGGCGGCAGGGGUCCCGUCAAGUGUGAGCGGUGGAGGACUCCAGCAGAACAGCAUGGAGUGCACCAAGAUGUAUAAACUUGCUGAAAGUCCAGUAAAGCGGCGCUCUGGUCUGUUCCCCAGACUGCACUCCAGCACAGAAAGUCCAACUGAGAAACAUCCAUCUCGCAGUAUUUCAGAAAAUGACCCAAAAACAGAAGUGUUACCUCACUCGCAGGAUGUGAGGUCAGAGACAUCAUCCAAUCCGAGUUCCCCAGAGAUCUGCCCAAGCAAAGAAAGGCCAUUUGUGAAGCUGAAAGAGUGUAGCAGCAGAGCUAAUAUCUCCCGAUCCUCCUCCAGCACCAGCAGCUUCAGCAGCACAGCAGGGGAGGGGGACGGACUGGAGGAGCUGGAAAUGGUGACACACACUUACACACACAGACAGAAGAGUUCUGUAGAGAUUCAAGAGAUGCACUGCAAAAAAAAAACAACAGUAUUUCAUAUACUUGCAUGUACACACAAAUGCUUGCACUUGGCACAAACAAUAACUACGUUUUUCUUAGAUGGAAAGAGCAAAACUUCACCAAGGACAAACUUGAAAUUCCGCUUUGACAAACUGAGCCACUCCACUGUAAGUACUGUGUACUGGAAUAACCUUUAA